rnacentral:rRNA from 1 species
CUCCUACGGGGCGCAGCAGUGGGGGAUAUUGCACAAUGGGGGAAACCCUGAUGCAGCGACGCCGCGUGUGGGAAGACGGUCCUCUGGAUUGUAAACCACUGUCCCCAGGGACGAAGAUGACGGUACCUGGGGAGGAAGCUCCGGCUAACUACGUGCCAGCAGCCGCGGUAAUACGUAGGGAGCGAGCGUUGUCCGGAUUUACUGGGUGUAAAGGGUGCGUAGGCGGCUUGGCAAGUCAGUAGUGAAAUCCAUGGGCUUAACCCAUGAACUGCUAUUGAAACUGUCGAGCUUGAGUGAAGUAGAGG